GUGCUCGCUUCAGCAGCACGCAUCCUAAAAUUGGAACCAUACAGAGAAGAUUAGCAUGGCCCGAGCACAAAGAUGACACACAAAUUCAUGAAACGUUUGGUAUUUUU